rnacentral:rRNA from 1 species
GUAGGGAAUUUUCGUCAAUGGGCGCAAGCCUGAACGAGCGAUGCCGCGUGAGUGAAGAAGGCCUUCGGGUCGUAAAGCUCUGUUGCGGGGGAAAAAAGGCAUCUGCAGGAAAUGGUAGAUGACAGAUGGUGCCCCGCCAGAAAGUCACGGCUAACUACGUGCCAGCAGCCGCGGUAAUACGUAGGUGGCGAGCGUUAUCCGGAAUGAUUGGGCGUAAAGGGUGCGCAGGCGGUCCUGCAAGUCUGGAGUGAAACGUAUGAGCUCAACUCAUGCAUGGCUCUGGAAACUGGAGGACUGGAGAGCAGGAGAGGGCGGUGGAACUCCAUGUGUAGCGGUAAAAUGCGUAGAUAUAUGGAAGAACACCAGUGGCGAAGGCGGCCGCCUGGCCUGUUGCUGACGCUGAGGCACGAAAGCGUGGGGAGCAAAUAGG